UGGCCGGUACAAAGAGAAGCGAGGCUGUGAAGCGGAGCAAAUCUCAAAAACCGGUCCCAGUUCGGAUUGUAGGCUGCAACUCGCCUACAUGAAGUCGGAGUUGCUAGUAAUCGCGGAUCAGAAUGCCGCGGUGAAUGCGUUCCCGGGUCUUGUACACACCGCCCGUCACACCAUGGAAGUUGGGGGCGCCCGAAGUUGCCUAAGAAAUAAGGUACCUAAGGCGAAACCAAUGACUGGGGUGAAGUCGUAACAAGGUAUC
rnacentral:rRNA from 1 species